rnacentral:rRNA from 1 species
AGAGUUUGAUCAUGGCUCAGAACGAAACGCUGGCGGCGUGUUUAAGACAUGCAAGUCGCACGGUGCCAUUUUGGUAGCAAUACUUGGAUGGCACAGUGGCGCACGGGUGAGUAACACGUGAAUGACAUGCCCUUUCAGAGGGGGAUAGCCCAGGGAAAACUUGGAUUAAUACCCCAUGGUCUCGCGAGAGUAAAGGUGGCGCAAGCUGCCGCUGGAGGAUUGGUUCGCGGCCUAUCAGCUUGUUGGCGGGGUAACGGCCCACCAAGGCUACGACGGGUACCUGGUUUGAGAGGACGAUCAGGCACACUGGAACUGAGACACGGUCCAGACACCUACGGGUGGCAGCAGUCGAGAAUAAUUCACAAUGGGGGCAACCCUGAUGGUGCAACGCCGCGUGGAGGAUGAAGGUCUUCGGAUUGUAAACUCCUGUCAUCCGGGAGCAAGACCUGACGGUUAACAGCCGGCAGGGUUGAUAGUACCGGAAGAGGAAGGGACGGCUAACUUCGUGCCAGCAGCCGCGGUAAUACGAAGGUCCCGAGCGUUGUUCGGAAUCACUGGGCGUAAAGGGAGCGUAGGCGGUGCGGUAAGUCAGAUGUGAAAUCCCGGGGCUCAACCCCGGAACUGCAUCCGAUACUGCCGUGCUUGAGCGAUGGAGAGGUAGCUGGAAUUCACGGUGUAGCAGUGAAAUGCGUGGAUAUCGUGAGGAACACUCGUGGCGAAAGC